rnacentral:rRNA from 1 species
GAUGAACGCUGGCGGCGUGCCUAAUACAUGCAAGUAGAACGCUGAAGGAAGGAGCUUGCUCUUUCCGGAUGAGUUGCGAACGGGUGAGUAACGCGUAGGUAACCUGCCUGGUAGCGGGGGAUAACUAUUGGAAACGAUAGCUAAUACCGCAUAACAGUAGAUGUUGCAUGAUAUCUACUUAAAAGGUGCAAUUGCACCACUACCAGAUGGACCUGCGUUGUAUUAGCUAGUUGGUGAGGUAACGGCUCACCAAGGCGACGAUACAUAGCCGACCUGAGAGGGUGAUCGGCCACACUGGGACUGAGACACGGCCCAGACUCCUACGGGAGGCAGCAGUAGGGAAUCUUCGGCAAUGGAAGGAAGUCUGACCGAGCAACGCCGCGUGAGUGAAGAAGGUUUUCGGAUCGUAAAGCUCUGUUGUAAGAGAAGAACGAGUGUGAGAGUGGAAAGUUCACACUGUGACGGUAUCUUACCAGAAAGGGACGGCUAACUACGUG